rnacentral:rRNA from 1 species
UAAUACAUGCAAGUCGAACGCUUUGUGCUUAAUUGAUAUGACGAGCUUGCUCUGAUUUGAUUUUUUGAUUUCAAAGAGUGGCGAACGGGUGAGUAACACGUGGGUAACCUACCUCUUAGCAGGGGAUAACAUUUGGAAACAAGUGCUAAUACCGUAUAAUACCAACAACCGCAUGGUUGUUGGUUGAAAGAUGGUUCUGCUAUCACUAAGAGAUGGACCCGCGGUGCAUUAGCUAGUUGGUAAGGUAAUGGCUUACCAAGGCAAUGAUGCAUAGCCGAGUUGAGAGACUGAUCGGCCACAAUGGGACUGAGACACGGCCCAUACUCCUACGGGAGGCAGCAGUAGGGAAUCUUCCACAAUGGGCGCAAGCCUGAUGGAGCAACGCCGCGUGUGUGAUGAAGGGUUUCGGCUCGUAAAACACUGUUAUAAGAGAAGAACGGCACUGAGAGUAACUGUUCAGUGUGUGACGGUAUCUUACCAGAAAGGAACGGCUAAAUACGUGCCAGCAGCCGCGGUAAUACGUAUGUUCCAAGCGUUAUCCGGAUUUAUUGGGCGUAAAGCGAGCGCAGACGGUUAUUUAAGUCUGAAGUGAAAGCCCUCAGCUCAACUGAGGAAUUGCUUUGGAAACUGGAUGACUUGAGUGCAGUAGAGGAAAGUGGAACUCCAUGUGUAGCGGUGAAAUGCGUAGAUAUAUGGAAGAACACCAGUGGCGAAGGCGGCUUUCUGGACUGUAACUGACGUUGAGG